UUUUUUCUAGGUGUACAACUGUGCAAGUAUUGAACAUCAGCUUGAAAUGCAAUGUGACCUAAAAGACAGUAUAAUAAUGGACAGAUGUAAGUAAUGAUAAAAUAGUCAAUGAUAUGGGAAAUGUAUGAAAUUGUAAGAAAAAGUUGACAGGCAUAUUGUUUUACACCUGUCCCUCCGUCGGUCAGUUAACUAUAUAUAUAGGUCAAAGUACAGCCUUCAGCAAUGAUCAUACUGCAUAGUCAUAUAUAAAAAAGGCCCUGAAAUUACAAUUGUAAAAUAAUUCCAAACUAAUGACCUUAAUAUUAAUAUACAAAUAAAAUAACUAAAAACAAAUAUGCAACACAGCAACAAACAACAACCACUGAUUGUCCAGGUUCCUGACUUGGGACAGGCACAGAAGAUAGCAGGAUUAAACAUGUUAGUGGGAUCCAAGCCCUAAUAAAAUCAUAUAUUUUAGUUAUUCUCCUCAAGAAAAUCUAAUAUAAUGUAAUUAACAUCAACCAUUGUCAACACUUUUAAAUGUUGUACUUAACUUUAUAUAUAAAGAAGAUGUGGUAUGAUUGUCAAUGAGACAACUUUCCACAAGAGACCAAAUGACACAGAAAUUAAAAACUAAAGGUCACUGUACCCUCUUCAACAAUGAGCAAAGCCCAUACUGCAUAGUCAGCUAUAAAAGGCCCCAAAAUGACAAAUGUAAAACAAGAAAACUAACGGCCUAAUUUAUGUACAAAAAAUGAAGAAAAAAAAAAUAUGUAACACUUCAACAAUUGACAACCACUGCAUUACAGGCUCCUGACUUGGAACAGGCACAUACAUUACAUUGUACCUUAAUAUUUUAAUUCCUUAAUAUUUUUUAUUCACUUAUUGGUAUACAAUCUAUUGUAUGUUUUUUUCUUUUUUUCUUUAAAAAGUUAUAUGCAAGUGGGGCAUAAUCUGUGUCCCAUGGACCCAAUCAUGACAUUUAUUUAUUCAGAGAAUUUUGAAAGGAAUAAAUAAUGAAUAAUUUUUCAUAAUUUUUUUUCAUCUUUUAGAAAAGUCGUCUCCUGAAACAACUGAGACAAAUCUACCUAAAUUUGGCCACACUCAUCAUUAGGGUAUGUAUAUAUAGUUUUAAAUGUGUUUGAUGACCCUGCCAACCUACAUGGCAGACAUGGCUAAAAAUAGAAAAUAGGAGGAAAAUGCAGUGUUUACUUAUAUCUCUGAAACUAAAGCAAAAGUAUAACAGUUGCAUUAUUUCAUGCAUCAAUUGUAAAUGAGAAUAUCAGGUGAGCGAUAAAGGCCCAUUGGAGCCUCAACUUUCUAUAGCCAUUAUUGUUAUAGCUGGUCAGUGGUCAUAAACCUAUGAAAAUAAGUCAAUUAUUUAACCUCAGAGCACUACCAACAGAUUCUUAUCCAGUGUAUUUGAUCAUGUUGAUGAAUAAAUUUUAUUACAACUCGUUAACAGGGCAAGAUAUGGAAAUUUAUUUUUCUUCUGGUUUUAUAAUAUUAAGAAAAAACAAAGGAAAAUGAUAUUUUGAUAAACAUUAAACAUGUUGUUGUGGUUUUGUGCUCUCUUGAACCAUCAGAUUAUUACUGUACUGCAAUAAAAAAAAAACAUUAAAGAAUAUCAGGGAUUUACGGGAACUUGAAGUAAUUGAAAACUUGUUCAAAUCCCAAACUGCACUUUAACUUUACUUUGUAUCAACCAUUAAGUGUUGUGAAAUGUUUACACAAUGCUUGUUAACACCAAACACUGAUCAAGUCACUUUCGUCAUUCUCAUAUUAUCAUGAAUAUGUUACUUUUUUAAUAGGAAAAAGGAUAUAUAUUAGAGAUAUAUUUACAAGCAGGGACAUCUGUGUCCCAUGGACACAUUCUUGUUUUAUUUAUUACAUAUUUUAGUGUAUUAAAGUAAUUAUACUGCUUCCACCUUUCAAUAUUCUAACAAAGCUCUAUCUCAUUAAUGGAUAAAUAAAUGAUACUAGUCAUGACCUCAACAGAUAAUUUUUUUUCAGGUUCUCUGGUCGUAAGAACCUGUUGGCCACACACAUGAAGAUUUUCAUUGAUCCUGCUUUCAGCUAAAUAUCAGAAAAAUUAAGAACAAAGGAAAAUAUGCUGAAACUGUACAGUCACCGGUCAGGAUUAUUUCAGAAGUGAAAUUAUAAUACAAUUUAUUUUACUGGUUAAUUCCUUUGAUUUGUAAUUUUAAACAACACACAGAGGCUUUGCAUUAUUGUUUUACAAGAGAGACACCAAAAGAUGCGGUCAACAUUUAUCAUUUUUAUCAAAAUACGCCCAGGACAAACCAUGGAUACACUUAACUUGAAAUAUGGUGCUUUCAUACCAAAAUUGCCUGGAAGUAAAAGAAAUAAAGAACCAUUCAUGUCAGCAAUCAGGGGAUAAGAUGAAAGAAUGCAGAAUAAGGUACUGUAAUAUUCAGUCUUAAUAAGAGUCCUGCUUCUCUAUAUAUACAUAUGCUUUUUGUUAUGCCCCGUCGUAGCGGAGGGGGCAUUAAGUUUUAUCCUUGUAUGUUUGUACAUAAUAUUAGAUAUAAGAAGAUGUGGUAUGACUUCCAAUGAGACAACUCUCCAUCCAAGUCACAAUUUGUAAAAGAAAAACAAUUAUAGGUCAAAGUACAGUCUUCAACACAGAGCCUUGGAUCACACCAAACAGUAAGCUAUUAUUAAUUUAAGGACCCAAAACAUUACUAUUGUGAAACCAGCUGUCAAACAUGAAAACCAACGGUCUAAUCUAUAUAAAAAAAAGAGAAAAGACAAACACUUAUAGUGCAUGAUUUUCUCACUGUGUUGAAGACCCAUUGGUGGACUUCGGUUGUUGUCUGCACUUUGGUCAGGUUGUUGACAUAUUUCCCCCCAAUUCCAUUCUCAAUUUUAUGAAGAAGUUAUUGAACUUUAUUCUUGAAAAAGAGACGGAGGUAUCAUGUUCACAUGGCACAUCUGUUUAUUUGUUUUAGUUCACUAUAAACUUAAGUUUGCUUAACCAAAUGUACUGAAACUUAAACACAAUGCUUAUUACCACAAAAAUCAGAUCAAGUACUCAUUUGGGUACUGUGUGUCACUUUUACCAUUCUUGAUUUAUGACCCUUUAAAAUGUUAUAUGCAAGCAGGGGCAUAAUCUGUGUCCCAUGGACCCAUUCAUCAUUUAUUUAUUCAGAAAACUCUAAAAGGAAUAAAUAAUCCAUAAUGUUCAUACAGAUAAAACAUAUUGUUUUAAGGAUUUUAAUCUGUUUAUUAAGUCACAUGCAAACUCAAUAUUGCUCCCCUUUUAAAUCUCGAUCAGUGUUUGUAAAAAGAAAAAAGUAACAUAAAAGAAUGCAGGUUGCCAGGAACAUUCAAAUUGGAGAAAGGGAAAAGAACACAACUCUACGCUAAAUAAUUUUGAAAACUUAUUGGCUAUACUAUCUUUAUUUAUAAAAAUGUCAAAAACAUUAUGUACAUUAUGAUCAUGUUGAUUGUGUGAAACGUCACACAAGGCAAUCAAUCAAAAUGGUCAGGGGGAAAAGAAGUUUUAUUAUAAAUGUCAAAUGGUUAUAGUCUCAACCUAUCAACAUAAUCAAAAUUGUUGAUUUCACAGUUAAUAUUUACUUUUAGCAUGUUCAGCAGAAUAGAACGUUUUUGUUAUAUUUUAUUAAAUGUUAAUUUACUUUGCUCUUAUAGGCAGGAGUGAAAGGAAGAGAAAGCUAGGCAUCAGUAAAGAAACAGAUCAAUUUAUAAUAUGUAAUAAUUCCAUCUGAAUAUAACAAACAUUGCACAUGCU
rnacentral:lncRNA from 1 species